UACGAAGGAUCCAAGCGUUAUCCGGAUUUAUUGGGUUUAAAGGGUGCGUAGGCGGGCUAUUAAGUCAGUGGUGAAAUCCCCAAGCUUAACUUGGGAACUGCCGUGGAUACUAUCAAUCUUGAAUAUCGUGGAGGUAAGCGGAAUAUGUCAUGUAGCGGUGAAAUGCUUAGAUAUGACAUAGAACACCAAUUGCGUAGGCAGCUUACUACGGAUAUAUUGACACUGAGGCACGAAAGCGUGGGGAUCAAACAGG
rnacentral:rRNA from 1 species